ACGGCCCUUCCUCGCCGGCCUCCUCUCCCUCUCUCUCCUCCCAGCACCUCGCCUCCCUCGUUCAAUUUCUCCGCAAUGAGAACGAGACUGAGAAAUUCAGCCAAAAUAUCGUAAACUCAUUGUCGAAGACUGCCGAUUUCGCGAGGGUCGGCGAGGAGAACCGGAGGUUUGUGGCGAAUUUCGACGGCUUCGUCUCCGCCAUUGUGGGGAUUCUGAACAGAGAAGGCGUCGAAAUCGAAGUUCUCGAAUCGGUAAUUAAGGUUUUGGAUUCGAUUUUGCCUCAAAGCGGAGUCAACGAGCAAUUGAGCCGAUUUAUUGCGAAGAGCAACGGCAAUUACCUCGCUUCAAUUCGAUUGGUACUGCAGAAAGGAAGCCUGAGCUCGAAGAUCGAAUCCGUCAAGGUUUUGGAUUCGAUCGCGCUCGACGCCGAGUCGAAACGAUUAAUCGCGGAGAAGGAAGGCUUAUUGUCCGUAUUCAACGAUCUGUUGAGCUUGGAAACGUGUCAGGACCUAUACGGCGCCGUUUUCUCAUGCUUAGCAUCAUUGUCCGUGAAUCGGUCGAUUAAAGCCGAGCUCGUCCGGUUCGGACUAGUCCGAGUUGUAACGUCAACGCUGCUAAAGCCGGACACUAGCACUACCCUUGCGGAGAAGUGUUUGAAGCUGUUAUCCACCAUUGCCACGUGCGCCGAGGGCCGGUCGGCGAUCAGCGGGGAGGAGAAGUGCGCGGAGGCGGUGGCGGAGAGGCUGAUGAAGGUGUCGAGGGGGGCGACGGAGGACGGCGUGGCGGUGCUGUGGAGCGUGUGCUGCAUGUUGGGGGACAAGAGGGCGAGGGAGAGCGUGGCGGGAGGAAAUGUGGUGGCGAAGGUGUUGUUGGUGAUGCAGAGUGGGUAUGGAGAGGGGCAUUUUGUGAGGAGGAUGUGUGGGGAUUUGGUCAAAGUUUUGAGUGUUGGGUUAGGGUUGGGGUUGAGGUAUGACACCAAGACUAUACAUAUCAUGCCUUGUUAGAAAUUGUUCAUGAUGAUAAUCUUGCUCAUUUAUUUUUUUUUUGGAAAUUGUGAAUUUGGAUAAAAAAUUUUAUAGAAACAAAAAGGAAAAUUCUUUUUAGUUUUGUAGUCAUUGAUCAUCAUUAUGUGAUUGAUGUUGUAUGAUUAGUAGAGAUAUUUUUGUGUGCUGUGAACAUGACCCGGUAUAUUAAGAAUAGUAUUACAAUUCGUUGGAAACUUUAAAAAAAAAAUUCCAAGAAAUUGUAUGUGCUGUGUUUCCGGAAAAAUUUCUUGGGUUUGUGGGGAUGUGAAUAUGCAAAAUUAUGUUGAUAAGAUGGCUUAAGUGAUUAAAAGAAUGAAGAAAUAAACAACUUUUUGUUAAUCUCAUGUUAAUCUUCUUUUUUGAUUUGUUGUUUCUUUUAUUGUUAAUUCAGAAAAGUUUCAUGAUGAAUUUGUUUGGACUUUGAAAAAGGAUUAGGGACAAGAAUCCAAUCCAUCGUAAAAGGGGCAAGUUUUGAUAUGAUUUGCAAGUUAUAACUUGUUAAGUAAGAGAACGUAAGGAGAUCUAUUGUAUACUUGGGUAAAUUUAAUUGGUCUUAAGUUCAAAUUUAUUUCUAAGUAAUUUUGGAGUAAUUGUGAUCAAAUAGUUGUAUGCUUUUUUUUAGAGUGGACUUACAAGUCACAGUUGUAUUGCCUCAACUACGUUUUAUACCAAUAAUACAAUACCAUGCAGAGAAAUUUACACAUAAUGUUGUAUAUUUGGCAUGAGACUAUCUUAGUGAAAAUGUAUCCAUGCCAUAGAAGUCGUCCUCUCUUUUGUGGGUGAGGUAGUUCUGGGCAAUGAACCUGUAUGAAAAAAUAUGAGUUGUUGAGCUAUGCACGAGUGUCAAACGUAACAUGGCUUAUUUUCGUAUCCCUGGUAAACAAACUACAAAAUCGUUGCUCUUAGAACAGUAUGUGUUUAAUUUCAAAAACGAGACAAAAAUGAUUGUAAAGAAAAAACACUAAAUAAGGAGACAAAUUCAGGCUAGUUUGCGUUCGAAUUUUACAGGGUAAGGCAACAACUUGGCUGUAGUAGGCAUCUGGUUUGCAAAAAUCCAGCAGAAAACAAUUGUAUGGACAACAAAUUGCGAUGCUCCGAUGCGACUCUCUAACAAUGUAAAGCUGUUUUGAAGUGGUGAAGGAACAAGGGUCAUGGCGCCAGAUAACCGAGUUGUAUCAGCAACCAUUUUUAUGAGCCUGCUGCCUCGGCUUCCAUGCUCGAUUCUGGUAACUUUGUCAUCUACAACUCGGACUCAAAUAUCAUUUGGCAGAGUUUUGAUACUCCAACCGAUACCAUUGUAUCUGGCCAGCGAUUGCUGGCUAGAAAGAAGCUUGUCUCCAGCAUCUCCGACACAAAUCAUGCAAGCGGAAGAUUUAGACCUUCAAUGUAGCGUGAUGGGAACCUAGAGAUGUACCUGGAGUGUCCAAUUAUAUUACAACCUGAUUGAUCGGUAUGCUUACUCAAAUAGUGGGACGUACAGGGCUGGAGACAAUGAGUCACUCAACGUUGAUCACAAUGGACAGUUAUAUCUCCUCAGUUACAAUAUAAGGAACGCUACGAAUCAGAAAGAGCUGUUUGACACACACACGUAUGUACCACAUGAUGAUUGACUUUGAUUGUAUUACUCCAGUUAUACUUCCAUACUAUUUAUAUUUAAUUUUAAAUUUUAAAUGAUUUUUAACCGCACGAUAUACAUGAACGGACAUAAUUAUGGGAUCCUCCAAAUUCCUGAGAAAAGGACGUCGAACAAGAAUCUUUGGUUGCUCCAUUGUCUCAUUUGACGGACUGAAAUAACGGAGCUAACAAACUGUAAGUACAAAGGACGAAAGUGAAAAGAAAAAGGCUAAAGGGAGGUAAGUGAUAAUUCGAUUUAAACUAACGGGACCAUGAGUGCAAUCUGACUCGCUCCUUAACUUGGAAAAGCCAACCAGGGCGUUCCAAGUGUGAUGAUGAACACGUGCCGAAACACCAUUGGAUUCUGGAGGGGAACCAGUGAGGCCUCCCGCAGCAAAGCCACACAAAAUGAUACACAAGCGAUCUGAGUCGUCGGCGAGGAUCCUUUUCCGUGAAAAAUCGAUCGAAGAAGCAAAGGCAGGUCACUGAAUAAAGAAAUAAAAACACAGAAGCUGAAGCUGUUGCGGGAAAAAGCUUGACCAAAUCAGGGUUCCCGAAUUCGAAUCGCCAACGAGGUUAACCAGAUUAGGGUUUUAACAAAAUUUUUAAGUUACUUUUACCAUGUUGUAAUUGCUUAAUUUUUUUUGCUGAAAUUCAGAAAUUUGCAGGAAAACUGAAAUGGGGGACGGCCUAUGGAACCGCCAGCAGCAGCAGCAGCAGCAGCAUCAACUGGGUCCCUCUGGCGGCGUGCAUAAACGACCUCGUUCCGACUACGGUAACUCCUCUGUGGCCAUUUCUCAUAGUUUUUUUCUUUAAUUAGAUGAAAUUGCGAUUGCAUUCGUUUGCAUUAUAGAUUUAGUUGUCAAACCAUUUAAUUUCUGACUUCUUGUUUAUAAUUCGAGCGAUAUUAUAAUCUAAUCGAAACUAUGGGGAGAGGGGGAUUCGAACUUGGGUGCAGAUGGGGAGCACACUGCUCGAGCCAACUUAGCUAGGCCAAAGUCUGCUUCUUCGUGUUAUAAGUGUUUUUACUUUAGUGGUUCUUGAUGGGUUUCGGGUUUCAAUGUAAAUUAUGUUUCAAAGUGGUGAAAUUUAUGUGAAGGGUCAAGGGUAUCUAGACAAAGGAUUCCAGUUCAGUUGUCUGAUGACUCUGCUUGUAUGUAUCUCCCCUUACUCUAGUAGAUAUGCAGAUUCUGGUUUUGUAGCUAGGUGUCUCUUUUCUUUUCUUUUAUAAAAAUUACAAUAAAUGUUUUGCUUCCAUAGUUCCAUGUGUACUCUUACAUCUUCGGGGUCUUCUUGAAGCAUAUAAUAUAGUCUUAGCCUAUCUGUUCCACUUACUACAAUUGCGAUCAACACUCAUACUCGUAUGAUUCCAUAUAAUAAUGUAUCUUCCACGAAAGCUUUACUAAGCAUAUGAUUUCUGUUAUUAUUUUCUUUGUAACCAGAUCACAGUUUUUGGCCUUCAUGUUUCCUUCGGUCCAUUGUUAAUGAUAUUAUUUACUGGAUUUCAUAUUUAGAGCAACUUUUGAAUGAUUUCCACAUUAGCGGUAGUUUUAGAAGUUACUGGUUGUUAUUAAGUUAUGUUCAAGGGGGGAAAACCUUGUUCGGUGUGUUUGCUAAGACCUGUGUGAAAAUGGAAACUACUACAAAAUCAUUCAGGUUUCCAAUUACAUUGCAAGGUACUUAAGAAUGGAUCUUUUCCUGAACCCAACCAAACCCCAAACCUCUGAAAUUAUCAAGUAGAUUCUUUCCUUUUAGUGCGGUCAGUCUUCCAAUCUAAUACUAUUCUUCAAUAAUUAUGGUAAUAAGAUCCUCCAUACAUAUUUAUAAUGCAAUUAUGUUUAUAUACAAAUUGAUGCAUAUUAUUGGUAUACAUUUUGAUAUAACCAAAUUCCCCUUUUUUUUCAUUUAGUUAUUUGUUUGCUGAGUUGUUCUUGUUAUAACUUCUUAGUCACUGAUCAAAAGCCUAGACUUGUAUAUUGUAUGUAGAUGUUUUGAUUGGUAUGUUUUCUUUGUACUUUUGAACAUUGGUGGCAGUUUUACUUGUUCAAAUACCACCUAGUUGUUAGUAGUGAUAUUGUUCAUUCCGCACCUUGGGUCUAACUCUGCACAUUAAAGAGUAGGUUUUUACCUUGUUAAUUGACGGGGCAUACUCUACUUCCACCUCAUGCUUCUCAAUUGGUUUCUUGAUUUAAGUUCUUCCAUCUGCUUUUUUAUUUUUUAUGCCUUUUCUCUUGUUCUAUAGUUGUAAUAUAUACAGCUGAAUUAGGGUCUAUUUGUUAAUGUUUUCUCAAUGUUGUGCCUUUAAAUAUAGGUAAAUUAUGCGCUUGGUGCAUUAAGUUUGUUAAACAUGGGAAACAUAUUCUGUAAAAUGAUCUCAACUUUUGUUCUUCAAGUUAGGAAACAACCAUUCCACUAUUUAUGUUGUUUUCAGGGGGAUUGUGAAACAUGGUGAGUAGUUAGAAACAAAAAAAGGAACCUUUCAACUGGAAUAAAUGUUUCUGUCAUCCUCAGAGGCUCUGUUGUUGGUCCUCACUUUUCACGUAUAUCUGCUCUCAAAAACCUAUACCAAAAAACCAAACACCCUAUCGCCUCUCUCUUCCUUUCUUUCUCCAUCUCUCUUUGCCUCCUCAUCUCUCCCACUUUCUCUCUACACCCUCAAAACCUGCACUCCAGCCCCACUCCGAACGCCUGACCCAUUCAUCGAAACCAAUAUGUGGAACCUCUUCUCAACCUCCCCCGCCCCCGCCCCCGCAAUGUUGUCGUCUCGUCUCUGAUUUGAAAACAUUUGGUUGUGGGUUGUUUUCAAUAUAAUAAGUUGGACGUGAAUAAUUGUUAGUGAUAAAUUUGGAUGGUAGAGUUUGGUAUUAUUUCAAUUUAAACUGGAGUGGUCAAGAAUUUGGUAGAACUUGUAAAAUGGAGAAACUGAAGAUGGUGAAUCAGACUUGGUUUCAGUUUAAACGGGGAUAGUUAUACCGUACUUGUAUGGGAUAUAGAGCGAUGUUGGAUGCAGCUUUAUUUUAUUGUAUCGGUUUUGUUUUGGUGUCGGAAUGGUUAUACUGUACUUGUAUCUGUUUCUUUAUCUCGUUUUGGUGUUGCUUUAUUUUUUUAUUGCUUUUAAAUCUGAAAUGGUUAUACUGCACGUGUAUUGGAUAUAGGUCUGAUGUUGGAUGUUUAUUGAUAUGAAUGUUCCAUUUAAUAGGGCUCUAACUCACAAUGGUUUUGGUUAGCUUUGAUGCGGGCAUGGGAUAAAUCAAUUUCACUAUUGUGCCGUUUAAAAGGGCUCUUAACUCACAAUGUUUUAAUAUAUUUGUUUGGUUCAUUGAUACGUCUUGUCAAAAUGUGUUUACAUUAGUUACGUGUUUGAACUUUGAUUAUAAUAUUUAGUUGAAAAUAGUUUUUCAAAAUAUUGCUGCCUAAUACAAAUUCAGUAAUUUAAUUUUUUUCUCAUACUAGCACUGAACACAUUUUCACUGUUUUUGUUUUUAGAAACAUUUUUUCAAACUAUUCUACCAGAUGCAUUAUCUAAUGUUAAAUUACAAGAAUGUUAUAUCAUUUUCAUUUUCUGAAAGGUUUUUAUGCAGAUGGUUUUGUAAAACAUCACCUGAUAGGCUCUUACUUUUCUGUAUUGUCAACCUGUCUUCAGGUCAAGAGAUGCAUGGUUAUUUUGCGCGAGAGGAUGAUCUUGGUGGUCCUAGGACUGUAAAGGAUAACAGAUCAAUCGGAUCAGCAUAUGACCGUUAUCUUCAGAAUGCGGUGACUUUCUUAAGCAUUUGAAACUAUGCCUAUUAUUAUUUGUGUUACAUCUCUCUGUUUCUGUACUAAAACAUUUGUCCUACUUGCUUCUAAAGGAAAUGGCUUCGUACACUUCUGGAGAAGCGAGUACUUUUGGUGGAGCUGGAAUGGGAAGGGCUGUUGGUGGUGGAAUGACAGGUCCUCCAAUGGCUGAUCAUUCUAUGAGGGGCCGUCCUGGAGCUAUGUCUUCUGAUGUACUAACAAAUGGUCGAAAUAUGAAUCUUGCUAAUCAGCUCCCAGUUGAUUCAAUGCCUAGGCCUGGACGUGAAACAGUUCCUUUACCUCUGGAUGCAUCCAGCACUUUAUAUGUUGAAGGACUUCCUCCUGACAGCACAAGGAGGGAAGUAGCUCGUAUCCUUUAUGAUGCUUAAGAAUUAUUGCAUAUUGCUUUCCAAUCUUAUUGUUUAACUCAAUAGUUUUUCCAUCGCUCCUCCUUUACAUAACUCUUAAGAUAUCUUUCGUCCUUUUGUGGGAUACAAAGCAGUGAGGCUUGUGAGCAAAGAGUCCAAACACGUAUGUGGGGGUGGAUUAUUGUAAACAAUUACUUUUCUUAGUCAUUCUGUUUUUCUUGAUCACUCUGACUUGAGAUUGUCGUUGUGCUACUUGGUUCGACUCUUGGGAAGUUUAUAAUCUUUCUUCACACUAAUAUUCCGGUUUGUCCAUAAUGCAGCGUGGCGGGGAUCCUCUUAUUCUUUGUUUUGUGGAUUUUGAAAAUCCAGCCUGUGCAGCAACUGCUCUGAGUGCCUUGCAAGGUGAUUGCUUUUUAUUGUCAUCAACCUUGGUGACUAUCAGUGUCAAAGAAAGCUUAAUUCUUUCUUUCUGUUUUUAUUUGUUUCCUUUAUAGCUUCACAAGUGUUAUUUUCUAUCAUACCUUAUUCAAUCAUGUAAAGGGUAAAUUUAUGUUAAAAUUCUUCCAUGCAUAGUAGGUGUAAAGAGGUUGAGGCAGUUCAUAAAAAUGUUAUAGAUGGCUUCUUGUGAUUUAAUAUUGGAGUUCAUAAUAUCUCUACACUACAUAUCGUGUAGAACUAGCUGGAUUGCUCAUUAUUUUCCCAUGUUUGUUGUUUUUGAAAAGCUGGAAGAUGCUGACAUUUGUGUUGCUGGAAGAUGCUGACAUUCAUGUAAUUCCAUGCAUAGUGUUUUAGUAUGUGUAAAGACGUUGAGGCAGUUGAAAAAAAAAAUGUUAUAGAUGGUUUCUUGUGAUUUAAGAUUGAAGUCCAUAAUAUCUCUACACUCCCGAUUGUGUAGAACUAGUAUUGCUCAUUAUAUUUUCCCGUGCUCGCGGUUUUUGAAACGCUGGAAGAUGCUUACAUUUGUGUUGCGUUUGCAGGUUAUGAAAUGGAUGAACAUGCUCCUGAUUCUAAUUACUUGCGGCUGCAGUUUUCUCGGUUCCCUGGUCCUAGGUCUGGACCUGGCCGUAACAAGAGGUGAUAGGCAUUAGGUGAUGAGAAAUAUCUGUUUUUGAUGUAAUCAAGAUUGCAUUUGCUUUUAAUACAUUCCAUAUAUAUAUAUAUAUAUAUAUAUAUAUAUGUAUUGCUCAGGCUUGGGCACACACCAACUGUAAGCACUUCUGAUGCACAUUGUUGUUUCGAGGUAGUGAAUCAGAAACAGUUUUAUAGUUGUGCAAUUAAACAGAGAUCUGAUUUUGCACGUCCAUGGUCUACAAAAUUUGUAAGUGUUUUUAGAAGUGGCAAGUUUCUCAGGCACAAACCCUUUAAAAACUAGUGUGUUUUUUUAGCAUGGAUUUGCAGGCUUCUGUUACAUAUAUCAUAUGGUAAGUGAUUUCCGCUCGCUUUUUCUCCUUGUACAACUCCUUUUUUCCUAGUUUAAGGGUUGGAUAAAUCAAAUCAAAGGAGAAUAAGUGGAAAGAAACAUAAGGUGAAUGCAGGAGGAGAAAAUGGGAACGUGCCGAUGACUACCGAUCAAACUCGUCUUUUCUUGUAACUUCCAACUGCAUGGAGAAAAGCAAGACACUGCGUGAUGAGAAUGGGCAUUGCAUGGUGUCAUGUCUUGUGGUGUUAGAAAUUUGAUCCGAGUCCUUCCCAUUUGGACUACAGUUAAGGACAGGCUCUACUAUGUCCUCCCAAUGCUAAGCACUAGGUAGUGGGCUGCCGACUAGUCUAUGUGCCACUGUACAUAUCACAUGGGCUUUCAACCCAUAAUCCUAUCCUGCUAGAGCUUCCCCCUACCCUUCUUGAAAUUAGUAUACCGUCAGGUAUGUUGCUGUCUCUCAUAUCACGUGACUAAUGAUUCGUUUGGAAUUACUUCUUUCAGAAACACUUAUACUACAAGUGUUUUUAUUGUAGACACGUUAAAUCUUUACAAACAAUCCAAGUGUUCAUUGAAAAAUAUUUGAAAGUGCUUCUUGAAAAAGCAUUUGGCAAGUGCUCCUCUAAAGAUAGUUUAUACGAGUCAAAAGAAUUUCUAAUAUUUUAUCUUUAUGCCAAUCGCAACAGAACACAUUUAGCUUUUCCAGAAUCAAUCCUAAACUAGUUCUAAGCAAAGAAAGGGCAAUAUAACAUAAGGACAACGAAGAAUCUCUCUAACAUUAAAGGUUAUGUUUGUUCGGUCACUAGACUCAAACAAAAGAGAAAAGUAGAAGUGGGCAAUAAAUUGGUUUUCGAUUACCAUCAAAUUGGCACAACAUUCGGCAUUGUUUCGCAAAAGACUGCUUUUUUUUCUUAGCAUUAGUUUUACACACACUCUAGUGUGUGGUAAAAACAAGCUAGGGUUUGGUUGGAGAACAAGUCUGAGCAGUUACAUGCCAUGUGGGCUGGAGGGUUUCGUUUGGUGCCAUUACUCUUUUUUCUUGUUCUAUCAUCCUUGUCGAACUGGAAGAGAAAAAGGAGGGGAAAAGGGAGUUUAGGGCAAAAAGGAUACUGAGUUUAUAAACCAGGAAAUGUCUAAGCAAUUUGUUUGUGCCAACGUGACUGUUAUCUAAAUAUAGCGUACUUGUGGUAUAAAAGAAAAAGGCAAAAAGGGUAACUGUAAAUAGUUGUUGUACUUAAGUGUAAAUUGUCCCACAACUUGUCCAGGGACCAGUGCAUAUAAGUUGUAGCUGCAAGUGCAAGGAGCAACCUCUGGAUUAGAUAGACGGAUGGACUUGGUUUGGUAUGAUUCCAAGUCGUCGUUGAUGUUUCUUCUUCUUUGUGGCCCAGCCACCCAGGACUAUAGUCCUUAUUUGGUAGGUAUUUAUUGCAAGGCUAACUAUAGGAUUGGAGAUAGACAAAGGGAGAUGGGACAUGGAGAAUGGUUUGCCAAGUUUGUUUAGAAUGGAUCGGGAUCAAUGCCCGUUGGAUCCCUAGUAAUUGAAUAUUAGUUAAAGAUUCAACGUCUAUGAAUCUCGGUCUAUGUUAUGAACUGUUUUUACAAUUUUCGUUCAUUGUGUAUCACGUAAUAUGCAUAAUGUUAGACAAUCCACUUGUUUUAUUUGAGACAACUGUAUUUGAUGCACUUCCUAAUUUCUGUUUUCUGACUUGCUUCAAUCUACAUUCUCUUGAUAUUUUUUUUUCCAUUUUACUCGGUUUUAUGAUAGUGAGAACAUUCAACAUGGCCUCUUCUUCCUCAAGUUGCUUCUUUGUGAUACGUAUAUCUGUUUUUGUACUAAAACAUGUAUCCUACUUGCUUUUAAAGGAAAUGCCUUCGUACACUUUUGGAGAAGCGAGUACUUUUGGUGGAGCUGGAAUGGGAAAGGCUGUUGGUGGUGAAAUGACAGGUCCUCCAAUGGCAUGAUCAUUCUAUGAGGGCCAGUCCUGGAGCUAUGUCUUCUGAUCUAUUAACAUAUGGUCGAAAUAUGAAUCUUAUUAAUCAGCUCCCAGUUGAUGCAAUGCCUAGGCGUGGACGUGAAACAGUUCCUUUACCUCUGGAUGCAUCCAGCACUUUAUAUGUUGAAGGACUUCCUCCUGACAGCACAAUGAGGGAAGUAGCUCGUAUCCUUUAUGAUCCUUCUAUGAUGCCUAAGAAUUAUUGCAUAUUGCUUUCCAAUCUUAUUGUUUUACUCAAUAAUUUUUCAAUCGCUCAUCCUUUACAUUACUCUUUAAGAUAUCUUUCGUCAUUUUGUGGGAUACAAAGCAGUGAGGCUUGUGAACGAAGAGUCAGGUUUGUCCAUAAUGCAGCGUGGCGGGGAUCCUCUUAUUCUUUGUUUUGUGGAUUUUGAAAAUCCAACCCAUGCAGCAACUGCUCUGAGUGCCUUGCAAGGUCAUUGCCUUUUUCUUUUCAUCAACCUUGGUGACUAUCAGUGUCAAAGAAAGCUUAAUUCUUCGUUCUGUUUUUAUUUGUCUCUUUAAAGGUUUGUAAAUUUUUUUUCUAUCGACCUUAUUCAACCAUGUAAAUGGAAAAUUUAUGUUAAAAUUCUUCCAUGCAUAGUAGGUACAAAGUGGUUGAGAUAGUUCACAAAAAUGUUAUGGAUGGCUUCUUGUGAUUUAAUAUUGGAGUCCAUAAUAUCUCUACACUCCAGAUCGCGUAGAACUAACUAGAUUGCUCAUUAUUUUCCCGAGCUUGUUGUUUUUGAAACGCUGGACGAUGCUGACAUUUGUGUUGCGUUCGCAGGUUAUGAAAUGGAUGAACAGGCUCCUGAUUCUAAUUACUUGCGGCUGCAGUUUUAUCAGUUCCCGGAUCCCAGGUCAAGACCUGGCCGUAACAAGGGGUGAUAGGCAUUAGGUGAUGAGAAACAUCCGUGUUGAUGUAAUCAAGAUUGCAUUUGCUCUUAUACAUUAUAUAUAUUGCUCAGGCUUGGGCACACACUAAUUGUAAGCACUUCUGAUGCACAUUGUUGUUCUAGGUAGUGAAAUCAGAAACAGUUUUAUAGUUGUGUUGAACGAUCUGAUUUUGCACGUCCAUGGUCUACAAUUUACUCAAGGAAUGUUUUAAUUCUGAAUUGAGAUUGUACUGUGCAUAGACUACCGCAAAAUUAGUACAGAGAUAGUUUCCCUAUAGAUUGUUUUCAUAUACUAGAGGACUUCCAUGGCCAGGGUAUCUUGCCACCAUAUUGUCCCCGUACAUUUUCCCUCCAUAUUAGUUAUAUAUUUAUCUGGACAUUCUAACCUAAUGAAGUCCUACAAUCAUCAUAACUCAUUUUACUUAGCUCAUGCUCCUUACAAUAUUUGAUGAACUCACAUAAGAAACUCAUAGAAAUUUGUUCCCAGUCAUUACCUUUGGACUGCAGUUGAAGCUUAUGAUACAUCCUCCCAAUGCUAAGCACUAGCUAGUGGGUUGUCGACUAAUCUAUGCCACCGUACACAUCGCAGGGGCUUUGAACUCUGUCUCAAUUAUUGUAAAGACGUUAGCCUCUUCAAUGAAAGAACCCAUAGUCCUAUGCUGCUAGAGCUCCCCCCACCCUUCUUGGAAUUAAUAUAGUGUUAGGACAUAUCGCUCUAUUUCUCACAUCACGUGACUAAUGAUUUCUUUGAAGUUACUUCUUUAGGAAACACUUAUACUACAAGUGCUUUUAUUAUAUAGAAUCUUUAUAAGCAAUCCAAGUGUUCAUUGAAAACGUAUUUGAAAGUGCUUCUUGAAAAAGCAUUUGGCAAGUGCUUCUUGAAAAAGCAUUUGGCAAGUGCUUCUAUAAAAGAGCUUAUUGGGUCAAAAGAAUUUCUAAGUUUUUUUUUCUGCCAAGCACAACAGAAUACACAUUUUAGCUUUUUCCAGAACCAAUCCCAGACAAGUUCUAAGCAAAGAAAGGGCGAUACAGCCUGAAGACAACGGAGAAUUUCCCUGACGUUAAAGGUUUUGUUUGUUCGGUCACUAAACCCAAAAAAAUAGAAAACUUGAAGUGGGCAAUGAAUUGGUUUUCGAUUUCCAUUAAAUUGGCACAACAUUCGGCAUUGUUAUGCAAAAAUAUACUUUUUUCUUAUCAUUAGUUUUACACACACUCUAGUCUGUGGUAUAAAAUGAGCUAGGGUUUGGUUGGAGAACAAGUCUACGUGGUAUCAUCACUUACAUUACAUGCCAUGUGGGCUGGAGGGUUUCAUUUGGUGCCAUUACUCCUUUUUCUGUUCUAUAAUCAUUUUGGAACUGGAAGAGAAAGUGGAGGGGAAAAGGUAGUUUAGGGCAAAAAUUUUCCAAUCAAUUUUUUGGCAGUGUGACUGUUUUCGAAAUAUAGAGUAGUUGUGGCAAAAAAGAAAAAGGAAAGGGGUAAUUGUACAUACACAUUGUUCCAAAGGGUCAGUUGUCCCACAACUUGUCAAGGGACCAGAGCAUUAAGUUGUAGCUGCAAGUGCAAGGAGAAAGUUGUGGAUUAGAUAGACCAAUGGAUUUGGUUUGGUUUAAUUCCAAGUCAUCGUCGUUUCUUCUUCUAUGUGGCCCAGCCGCCCAGGACUUUAGUCCUUAUUUGGCAGGUACUUAUUACAAGGUUAGAUAAAGGGAGAUGAUACAUGGAGAACGGUUUGCCAAGUUUGUUAGAGUGGAUCCGGAUCCAUGAGUGUUGGAUCUCUAGUAAUUGAAUCUUUAGUUAAAGAUUCAAUGUCUCAACGAUCUAUGCUAUACAUUUGUCUUUACGAAUUUUCAUUCAUUGUGUAUUACAUAAUAUUCUUGACCCUCUUAUAUGUGACUUCGGCCGACUUCUAUCACCCGAUAUCGUUGUGUAAUAACUUGAUGAGAUAGCCAAUGCUUAGGUCAUCUUCAAUGGAGAUGGCUAAAGGUCAAAAAGCUAAAAAAUAGUAUGAUUUGUUCAAAAACUCAUCUCCAACCAAUGUCAGAGCUAUAAUUAUAUGGAGCCCACCAUGCCAUUAUUUGGCUAGUGCCCCUUUCUUAGCCCCUUUUUGGGGCCUAGCUCCUCGAUUAUGCCAUCUGCAAUGAAGAGGGCUAAAUGUCUAAAAGCCAAAAAAUGACAUGAUUUACCCAAAAACUCAUCUCCAACCAAUAGCUAGGUUAUAAUUCUAUGGAUUCAACAGUUAGAUUUGGAAACAUCCAAUGUUAGUUUAAUUAAAUUAAAGUAUAAACUUAAAACUAAUAAAUUAUUAGGGAGCCUAUGUUUUAGCCCUUUCGGUUGGAGAUGGUAUAUGAGUAUGGCCGACACUAUUCAUUUAAAAAUAAUUUUUUUGUUGGGUUAUAAUUUUGGAUGAGGCUAUGUCUAGCCCUUUUGGUUGGAGAUGACCUUACAAUGAUUAAUUCAAAUUCAAUGGUUAAAUUUGAAAAUAUCCAACAAAACAUCCAACAGUAGUUUAAUUAAAUUAAUCAAUAAUUUUAAGUAUAAACUCAGAACUAAUAAAUUAUUGAGGGAGUUAUGUUUAGCCUUUUCGGUUGGAAAUGAUAUAUGAGUAUGGCCUAAUACUGUUUAUUAAAAAAAAAAUCUUUAGUUAUCUCUGCUAAUCAAUAAAACACUCAUUGUCAACCAAAAUCCUAUGAAAUUACCAGUUUAACCUUCUAAUUAAAACAAAACAUGAAUAAGAAAUAUGGGGCGGAAAUUUAAUUUUACACAAACAAAAUUUGUUGUUUUUUUUUUUCAAAACUUCAUCUAUAUAUAAUUCUAACAUAUCUCUAAUUAUAAAAUAAAUAAAAAAUAAAAAUAAAAACUUCCUACUCCCACAUUCUCUAUCACUCCCUUCCUCUCUUCUUUUAUUUUAAAACAAAAAAAAAAAUUUCACAUACUUUAUAUAUGCCCAUAUGCUAGUAAUUAUAAACGAAACUAUAUUUAACUAUUUCGUUGAAAAUGACCGUACGAGUAUGUAAAUUUUGAAAUGUGAGUUGUCGUUCACUACGCAAGCAAAGAUCGAAAGCCUUCAUGUACCGAGGGGUCCCACUCCUUGAAUCAGAAUAAAAGUGCUUUGAAAAAGUCCCUUUAAUUAUGUCCAAGUUUGGAUAAAAUUUGUCCAUGCAUGGCAUGCACUCACUGACUGAUCUCGUCGUCCUGAAGGGUAAGAGAGGUAAAUUCCAGAAUAACCCACGAGGCACUGUAUGAAGCCUGUCAAUUACAUCAACUCAUCAAGCUUUCAAUCUUUUCAUGGCAUGCCUAACUUCUGUGAAAUAUGCUCAACAUUUAACAUUUUGUAAACCAAAAAGAGAGUAAGAGAGAGAUGAUUGAAGUAAUAAAGUAAAAGCGAAAUGCAUGCAUUGAUAAAAGGAAAUUUUAACAAAAAAAAUUUCGGUACUGUUUACUUUAACAAAAAAUUAUAUUUUUACAUUAAAAAGUCAAUUCUAAUACUAUUCAUUUUACCCUUUAUUUGUUCUUUAUUGUUAAAAAUCAAAUUUUUCAAUCCAUUUUUAUUAGUUUUCCUUUGAUAAAAGGAGAAAGAUGCAUGGAGAACUGGUUUUUUAUUUUAUUAUUAUUUUUUUUACAAACAAUAAUAUUAGAGUGGAUUAAGUUAUUAGCUGUUAGCGAGAAGAGGAUCAAUAAUAAUCAAACUAGCACCCGGAUGUAUAAGCAUAAUUGUUUUCUAAAAUUGCAAUAAAACGUCACUUUCCAUAUAUAUAUAUAUAAAAAAAAAAAACUUAUUGUUCCUUGUAUGAUGGAUUGCAAUCUCAAUAUCGUUCUUAAUGGAACGGCCACAAUUAGUUGUUCAGGACAUAAACAAUAUGUAUUGUCUUUAUAUUUAGGAAAUUGGCUCUGUUAGCCUUAUUACAAACCCAACAAUUAAAAAUACUCCCAAAUUAUAAUCUCUAUUAGCCCUCUUUUCCUUAAAUACCACUAACUUGAAAGAUGAACUGUUAUUCUAUGUCUCGACGUUGGAUCUCGAUGGCAUCCAAAAGGGCCUCUCAACUCCCUUCCGACUGUAUCUCGACUGAAUCACGACGGCAUCUCAACGGCACAGAACUGAAUUACCCUUAUAUUUAUGAGUUGAUCAGACACUCCAAUUAAAUAAAAAUAACUAUAAUUAUGUCAAAAUUAUUUAGUCAGUCUCACGUAUAUAUAAUUAAUUCAUCAAACACAUAAACAAAAAAGUUCUUGUAUGUAUGCUAUACUUUGAUUUGUCUCAACAAGAAAUGACUCAGUCAUCUUUUUAUCUAUGUCCAUUGAGUUUAUGGAGGGCAACAUAUUGAGAUCUCAAAAAUCUUAUUCUCAUACAACACACUUUUUUUUUUGAACAAACGAUAUUAUCUACACUAAGGGAAAAUGGGUGGCCUAAACCUCACAAUGGGCUAGCAAUAAUGUGGUUCAAAUUCACAUUUGGCGAGAAUCAAACCUAAGACCUCUCACUGACAAGUGAAGAAGAAUAUCACUAGACCGUAGUCCUAAAAAAAAUAUAGAUCUUAUAGUCUUGCAGUGUUUUAGAUUAGCUAAAACGUUGGUAUCCAUAUUAACUUACCAAAAAAAAUAUGUUGAAUUUGCUACACCUGGAAUUUGUAGCAGAUUUGUCAUUUUAUAAAGGGGUUUUUAACUCAUUUAAAAAAAAAGAAGGGGUUUUUAACUUUAAUUCUUAAAAAAAAUUGAAAUUUAAUAAAAAUCGGAUGUUAGAUUACAUAUUAAUUAUUGUCCUUUAAUGUGUUAUUAACUCAAAUUAAUUAAUGUGUAUUUUAUUCAAUAUCUCACAUUAAAUAUUUGAAUUUAUGAAAAUGAAAAUUAUAAUAAAAUAUAAUUAAUAUAUCAAAAUUAGAAAGAAAAAGAGAAAUAAUUAAAACAUCAAAAUAUAAUUAAUAAAUGAAGUAAUUAACAUAUCAAGAGACUAAAAUUAGAUUUUAAUUUUACUCAUGUUUUUAAUUUAAAGUUAUUUUUAUCAAAAAUUAAAAUGAAGUUUCCUAUUUUGUAAAUUACAACGAUGAAAAAUGACGCGUUGCACGUAAGAAACAACAUCUAUAUUUUCUCUUUUGUUUAAUAUGCCAUCAAACAUAUCCAUCACAUUUUAAAUUUUGUGGAAGUCCCUCUCUCACAUUGAUAAAGUCUGGUUUGUGUUGGACAGCUGUCCAACAGACAACCCAAAAAUCUUCCAAAAACCAACAAACAUUUCUGACCAGUCAUGCAUACGUAUGCAUGGACCCAAUGGCAUAUAAUCAAAAAUUUUAAAUAAUGGGAUCGUAAUGUCAACUUAAAAAAAAGUUUCAUUAAGCUAUUUCAUCGAACAUUUAGUAAGCAAUUGUCAAUUCUUGUCAACAAUGCCAAAAGUUUAUGUUAAAAUAUAUCAACUACGAUAAUUUGUAGAGGCUUGUCGAGAGUGAUGUAGGAUACUACGAAGUAAUAUUGAGAACUCUUAAAGCUUUUCAACUAAAGUAUUUUAUAUAAAAAGAGAGAAAAGAAAAACAAAUAUGAUAGAAGAAAAUAGAAGAAGUAAGAAGAUGAGGUUGUAAGUUAGUUUGCUUUAGCUAUUUAUAAUGGUCAAAUAAAAUAUACAAACAAAUAUACAUGAGAUUUUUAAAGUUGUUGAGAUCAAGGAUAAUCAAUGAUCCCAUUCUAGUUUUGCCAUUGCAUGGGCCGGAUAGGGAUAUGGCUAAAAUAUAAUUCUAUUAAUUGCGUUUUGGGACUUUGUCUAACAACUUGGCUCUCUCUUGACUUGGAUGCCAUGGAUGGCUCAUGCAGUUUACUAAAACUAGUAAUGUACAAUUUUCAGAGACUAUUAAUUAUCAUCUAUCAGGAAAAUUUGAUUUCCAUGCUUGCCCUUUCACGUCGGUGACUUGGAGAUAAUAUUGUUUCUUGUCCGGAGAUGAAAUAAAAUAAAAAGACUUGCACGAUCAUACUGCAUUAUAUAUAUUACACUAUAUAGUCUAUGUUGGGAGUUAUAUAUUAGUUAAAGUAUAAAUAGUAGUCUGUUAUCCUAUAUUGAUGAAGUGCAUAUGUAAUACAAAUUGUAAUUCCUAUAUAUACUCCAUUUUGGAGAUUAAUGAAUAUAUGAGAAAUUCUCAAAUAUUAUCAUAUAUAUUUUUGGUAUUUACCAUGUUUAGUUUAAUAUAGCAUCAAAGCAGUUCGCUCUUGGUGACCUGUGUGCUUUAAUUUUGUGCCCCACAUUUGUCAUGAUUUCCUUCGUCUUGAAAAAAAAAAAGGAAAGUAAAUAGUGUUGCACUACAGUACAAACAGUGCGUAAACAGUGGUAUGCUACAGUGUUCAUGAACAAUAUUUUGCUACAGUGCCAUUAACAGUGAUCUACUACAUCACUUGAACAGUGAUGUGCUACAGUAUUAUGGUAAAUUGUUUUCAUUCCGCUGCCUAUCUUUUGUGCCUUUAUUGUUUGUGAUUUAAUUCAAUGGCUCAGUAUAAUCAUAAUGUUGUUAUGCAUCUUGGUGGAACAAAUAAAUGGAUAAUUGAUACUGGGACCACUAAUCAUGUGACUAGUGACCCUAGAAUGUUUGAUGAGUUAUGUGACUAUAUUCUUGAUCCGUAUAUUACUAGUGCAAAUGGAGCACAUUCCCCCGUGAAUGUUGAAGGCAUUAUCUCUCUUACUUCGACCUUAUCACUGGUCCAUACUUUACUUGUUCCUGAUGUUAAGUGCAAUCUUUUGUCGGUAGAAAAACUACUUGAUACUUUAUAUUGUUUUGCUCACUUCUACCCUACGUAUUGUUAUUUUCAAGACAUUCAAACUCAGAAAGUAAUUGGUCAUGGUAAAAGAAUAGAGGGUUGUACAUCUUGACUAUGGAGGAUACUGUUGUUUCCGGUUCAAAUAAUCAUCAAGUUUUAAGUGCUAAAGUGGAUGACAUACAUCAAAUUUGGUUGUGGCAUUGGCGAUUAGGACGUCUAUCAUUCAGUUAUAUGAAGCAUCUAUUUCCUGCUUUGUUUCGCAUUUGUAGUGAUUCAUAAUUCAAGUGUGAAGCAUGUGUCAUGGCUAAGAGUCAUCGUGCUUCCUUUCCCAUAAGUGAUUCUAAAGCUACUUUGCCAUUUGAUUUAAUACAUUCUGAUGUGUGAGGUCCGGCAAAUGUUACUUCUAAUGAAUUUCGUUGGUUUGUUACUUUUAUUGAUGAUUGUACUCGAUUAACUUAGGUGUUAUUGAUGAAGAAUAAGAGUGAUGUUCAUUUGCUUCUUCAAGAAUUUUGUGCAAUGGUGUAUACUCAGUUUCAGACCAAAGUUAAGGUUUUCAGGUUUGAUAAUAGAGGAGAAUAUGUGAAUCACACUUUGACAUGCUUUUUUCGUGAUCAGGGUAUUAUUCACCAGACGACUACUUUGUUUACACCCCAACAAAAUGGUGUGUCAGAACAGAAGAAUCGUCAAAUAAUGGAGGUUGCUCACUCAUUGAUGUUGGAUAAAUGUGUUCCUAAUCAUUUAUGGGGUCAUGUUGUUUUGGCUGUUGUAUAUUUGAUAAAUCGUGUUCUAAGUAGGGUUCUUGAUUUUCAGACACCACUUGAUGUGUUACAAAAGCAUGUUUAUCUUGUUUCUGUAUCAAAACUUCCUCCGAAGGUGUUUGGGUGUAUUGCGUAUGUGUAUGUCUACUCUUAUCAGCGGAGUAAACUUGAUGCAUGUGUUCUUCGAUGUGUAUUUAGUAGGUAUGCUAACAAUCAGAAAGGCUAUAAGUGUUAUCAUCCUCCGACUCAUAAAACUUAUAUUACCAUGGAUGUCACUUUCCACGAGGAAGUUUCGUAUUUUGUGAAGCCAUCUUCCGACUCUCCACUUCAGGGGAAAAAAGGGAGUGAAGUGCAUAUUUGAAGAGAUGGUAUGGAUGAUGUGUUACAGGCAGAGUUGGGGAUAGAACCUAUUAUGUUGCGUGAUACUGAUCAGUCGGUUAUAGAUAGUGAUCUGUCACCUAUUAUUCCUAAAACUAUUUUUACUGACGACAGAUUAGAUGUGCCCAACGAGUUGCUUGUCAGUAUGUCUGACGAAUUACUUUCUGAUGACCGAUUGCUUGCUUCUGGUAUGUCUAACGAGCUGCCUGAUGAUGGUUAGUUCAGUGAUGGUUCAUCCAGUGAUGAUUCUUUUAACAAUUUGGUACAAGAUAAUGACAUACAUGAGUUAAAUUCUGACGAUUCUUCUAUUUAUUAGUUGCCUCCACGAGCUAAUCGUGGAAAACCUAAGGUACAAUAUGAGCCUGAUAUGCAUGCCAAAUCCAAAUAUCCUAUCAACAAUUAUGUGUUUACUCAUCGUUUGUCCAAACCAUUUUCAUCUUACAUAUGUCAGCUAUCUAGUGUAUCAAUUCCAACAAAAUUGCACGAUGCCUUGUCUGACCCUAAGUGGGUUAAUGCCAUGAGAGUUGAGAUGGAAGCCUUGGAAAAGAAUUCUACUUGGGAUUUGGUUCAUUUACCAAAUGGGAAGAAAGCUGUUGGAUGUAGAUAGGUGUUCACUAUUAAGCACAAAGCAGAUGGUUCUAUUGACCGGUAUAAAGCCAUAUUAGUUGCUAAGGAUUAUACUCAAACCUAUAGGGUGGACUAUCAGGAGAUUUUUGUUCUUGUUGCCAAACUUAAUACUGUGUGUGUUCUUCUGUCCUUAGUAGCAAACCAGGAUUGGCCUCUGUUGCAGUUUGAUGUUAAGAAUGAUUUCCUUCAUGGUGAUCUCAAGGAGGAAAUUUAUAUGGAUCUCCCACUUAGUAUUAGAACAUCUCCUGAAAAAUGUGUUGUAUGCAAGUUGCAAAAAGCUUUGUAUAGUUUGAAACAAUCUCUUAGAGUGUGGUUUUGGAGGUUUACAAGUUCAAUGAAGAAGUUUGGGUAUGUCCAGAGUCAUUCAAAUCAUACUUUGUUUCUAAAUUGUUUCUAAAGCCACAAAAUGGUAAGCUAACUGCAUUGAUUAUUUAUGUUGAUGACAUGUUAGUGACUAGUGAUGAUCAAAAGGAGAUACAACGCCUUAAAAAAGUACCUAGCUAGUGAAUUUGAGAUGAAAGAAUUGGGUGAAUUGAAGUAUUUUCUUGGAAUCGAGGUUGCACAAUCCAAGCAUGGUAUUUUUCUGUCUCAACAGAAGUAUGUUCUUGAUUUGUUAGUUGAAACAAAUCUGUUAGAUUGCAAACUUAUUGAUACUCUGAUUGAGCAAAAUCAUCAUCUGGGCUUAUUUCCGAAUCAAGUUCCUACUCAUAAGGAACGGUAUCAGAGGCUUGUGGGGAAAUUAAUUUAUUUGUCUCACACUUGCCCUGACAUUGCUUAUGCAGUUAGUGUAGUAAGUCAGUUUAUGCACUCACCUAGUGAAGCUCAUAUGGAUGAAAUAGUCCGUAUUUUGAGGUGCUUGAAGAUGGCUCCUGGCAGAGGCUUGGUUUUCUCCAAGAAUGGUCAUUUGAAUGUCGAAGGGUAUACAGAUGCAGAUUGGACAAGUUCUAUCACUGAUUGGCGGGUGGUAAUCUAGUUACUUGGAGAAGUAGAAACAAAAAAUGGUGGCUAGGUCAAGUGCUGAAGCUGAGUUUCGUGGUAUGUCUCAUGGUGUAUGUGAGUUGUUGUGGUUAAAAAAAUUGUUGAGAGAUCUUGGAUUUAAACCCAAUGGUGCUAUGAAACUCCAUUGUGAUAACAAGGCUGCUAUUGAGAUUGCUCAUAAUCCAGUGCAACAUAAUCAAACAAAACAUGUGGAGAUUGAUCAACAUUUCAUCAAGGAAAAUUUGGAUGCUGGAAUUAUUAUGUUUCCGUUUGUGAGAUCUGAAGAUCAACUCGCUGAUGUACUUACUAAGACUGUGUCUAAUAGUGUGUUUUCCAACUCGCUUGACAAGUUGGGCAUGCAUGACAUCUUUGCUCCAACUUGAGGGGGAAUUUUACGAGUUAUAUAUAGUUAAAGUGUAAAUAGUAGUCUGUUGUCCUACAUUGAUGAAGUACAUAUGUAAUACUAAUUGUAACUCCUAUAUAUACUCCACUUUGGAGAUUAAUAAAUAUAUAAGAAAUUCCCAAAUAUUGUCAUAUAAAUUUUUGGUAUUUAUCAUGUUUAGUUUAAUAGUCUAAACAUCAGGAAAUACACCAACCCUAAACCUAAUGGAUUUUAUGAAGCCGCUGGUUUGGGUACACAUUAAUCUAACCUAAUUGCUCUACCACAUUCUAAACACAAAAUUUGUUAUAAAUAGGAUGAUUAAAUUUAUUUUCUCAAGCGGUAGAGUAGUGAACCUCACAGCGACGACAAUCUUCCACCCCCAAAUUCGGGUUUUUUUGUACUAAAAUGGUCUUUUAUGUAUAAGAACUUUACGAUAAGUUUAUUAAAAUUGGCUCUGUAUCUACGAAAUCUCAACAUCCAUACGUUACAAAAUGGAUUAGAACUCCUAGGAAAUAAAAUAGAACAUAUGAUGAUCCCUUUAAAGGGCCUUAUAAUGGGGAAGACUUCUCACAGAAUAUAAGAAGACGAAGAGGAAAACUAAAAACUUAGAACUUCAAGGAGAUGGACUGGAGCAGGGAGAAUGGCAAAGAACCGGAACCCAGAAGACCCGCAACGAAAAAGAAAACACUGUACUUUUUUUAGACAUUUUUUCACAUUUCUUCUCGGCCUUACAGCCAAGUAGCAUUUUCCGACCCCAAAUAAAGAUAGAAGGAAAAAACCAAAUUAAGGUAAAUAAAUUUUCUAUAGCAACUUGGCAAACAAAAACAUACUAGAAGAAAACAAGGAAAAUACAAAGAAAUUAAGGAAGUAUGGGAAACAAAAUAAAUUUAAUACGGGACCAACGACAACGGUGCAAAUGUAUAUUGUUCAGGAAAUAAACUUUUAGCGAAAAUGUGCUGCAAAAUUGACCAAUUUUGCUUCAUAUUCACACUCAAUUUUUUUAAGAAUUAAUAUCUGUAGAGUUUAGACCAAAAAUAAAAUAAAAAACAAAACCAAAAUGCUACUCCACUUUCUUGGUACUUAACUCAGCUCUCCACCUCCUUCCAAUCUUACAAGCUUCUAGAUUUAGAUUUGUCUCAAAUCACAUGCCAACUAACCUGCCCAGCUCAAUUUUAUUUUUUCUUUGGAAAUUCCAGUGCGUCUCUACUUUUGUUUUUCUAAAUCUUACUUACUCCCAUUAUAAUUGGAAUUUUAUAUAUUUAUAUGGAUGCUUUGUCAAGAUAUGAGAGAAAUAGUAGUGAUUCAAAAAGAUGAUUAGGAGCCAAAAAUAUUUAUUAUUUUAGAUUGGUGUUUAUGUUUUUGAACAGUUAAAAACUUUUUUGGUCAUUGUGUUUAUGUUUAAAAUUUAUUUUGGUCACUGUAUUUUAUUUUCUGCUAAUUUAGUUACUGUGUUAUCACAAGUUAGCAAUCUUAGUCCUUCUCAAUCAAACGUUAAAAAAAACGCACAUGACAUGCAAGUGCAGGGGUAACUAUGUAAGUGAAAAUAUAUCUUUGCCCCUGCACGAAACUGUCACGUGCAUUUUUUUGGCGGUUGACUUAUGGUAACGCAGUGACCAAUUUGGCAGAAAAUAAAACACAAUGACCAAAAUAAAUUUUAGAAAUACACACAGCGACCAAAAACGUUUUAAUUUAACCCAUUUUUAACAGUCCAGCCAGCUACCAUGAAAGCUACAACAUGAAAGCUGACUGUCAAAAUUUUGUUUAAAAAUUCAUACACAAUAAUCGUCAUAAGAACGUGCAAUAGGUACUUUGAAUUCUUAAAUAUACUGCAUGGUUACCCUUUCCUUUUGUUUUAUACAGAGAAAUCUUGACAGGCAGUCAAAAGCAAAAUUAUGUUCUUCUAGUGAUAUCUGUGUGCUAAAAAGGAAGUACGUAGCUACGUUCAGUCUUCACCUAACACUCCUAUUUGCACCUAAAAGAUGUGGAUAACAAAGAUUUUGACCAAAAUCACAUUGACAAGUACUUGCCAAAGGAUCACGGAACCUAUGAUUGUAAAAGAUAUACGUGUUGGGCCUGACCGACGUUAAUUAGUUGUUCAUAUUGAUUUGAGAAAUUUGAUUGAAUGAGGAUUAACAAAUCACAAUUGCUAAAAUAUUAAAAUGUAUUAACUGCGACAUAUUGGUUAAAUAAUUAUUGCACAUCGAAAAAAUAUUGACGAGUAAUUAUGAAUUUUUAUUUUCAUUAUUUCAAACAUUUUUAUAUUAGAAAAGCUAAAGAAAAUGAUUUAAAAACUUUGAAUUUUAAUGAUACGUACAAAAUGAAAGGUAAAAUAAAUAGUACCAGAAUUAACUUUUUGUUUAAAUUUUAUUUUCUAUUUGGCAUCAACUUUUGGUUUAAAUAUACUAUAUAACCCUCACAAAAGAAAAAGCAUGGUGUACUAGUAGCUAAAAGACAUAAAAAAGGUUAAUCUUAAUUUAUUAUUCUAAAGUUUCUUAGUUUUCAAUAUUUGGUAUAUAAAGUUUUUUUUAUUCUAGAGUUGUACAUAAAGUUAUAAUUUUGGGAUACUUUCAUACAUCCAUUAAGGUUGCUGUUAAAUUUAUCAUUAACUGAUGAUAUGACAUUUAUGUUGACAAUGACACGUAGAUAUUAAAAAUUAAAAAUUAAAUUAAUAAAAUAAUAAAAAUUAAAAAAAAAAAAAAAUUGGGCGUCUUCACCCUCACCCCUUCUGACCCCCCUCCCUUCUCUCCUCUGCACCCACGCUUCCCCCUCCCUCUUCGACUCCACCCAACGCUGCACUCCGAGGAUUGUUGCCAUCCUUUCAAGCCCAAUUUCGCCCCCAAAUAGGCCCGGGCAGUACUUGGCCAUAAACUUCAAGUCGUAGACCCUCUCGAACAAACGACCUGCCAUCUUUGCGAACUCAGUGGGGGAGCUGAGGAUGGUCUUCCUCGUCACCAGCUUCAUUACAUAGGCCGAGUCGUAGAGGCCGUGGAAGCUCACCCAUACGAGCUGCCCCCUGUGCACCCUUAAAAUCUCAACGAAACCCUCCACAAAAAUAUCCGAAUCAAUGCCGAACUUCCCAAAUUUCUCGAGAUCCAAGCCAUUCGCUUUGAGGAGGGCAAUGGAUUCUGGAACAUGGGGGUCGGUUUCCUCGUCAAAACCCCGAAAGUUGAACUCCCAGGUGCCGCCGACGUUGCCGCGGUCGUCGAACAGGGUGAUACCCACUUGGAUGAGAUUGAGAGAAUCGACAUUAAGGGCGAUAUCUUGGUAACGGAGGCCCUUGGAAGUGCCUCUGGGGGUGUUGCGGAGGAACCCCGGAAAUUCGGUGUCGAACGAGACGAUCGGAAAACGGCAGAGACACCGAUCGACGGAGGGAAGGGGAAAGGUGGGUGCAAAGGAGAGAACGGGAGUGGGGUCGGAAGGGGUGAGGAAGAAGAUGCCCAAAUUUUUUUAUUUAUUUAAUUUUUUUAGUUUUUAUUAUUUUAUUUUUUAAUAUGCACGUGUCAUCAUGUCAUUGUCCACGUGGAUAACACAUCAUUAGUUAACAGUAAAUUUAAAGGCAACCUUAAUGAAUGUAUAAAAUUGUUCCAAAAUUAUAACUUUAUGUACCACUCUGAGAUGAAAAAAACUUUAUUUACCAAAUAUUGAAAACAAAAAAACUUUAAGAUAAUAAACUAAUAUUAAUCCUAAAAAACUACUAAAGGAAAGGGUGAAAGAAAAAAUUAUUAGUUUGUGCUGUUCUCAUGGUAAUAGUGGUUUUUGUAUUGUACGAUCAUGUGUUACAUUUUAUGCAUUAUUAUGUGGAUGAAUGAAUAAGUUAAUUACAUCGCAUGUCAUAGGGUGAAUAUUACAUUAAAAAAUUCUUCAUUCUUGUUAUUCGUCAAAUUAAUGGUUGUGCAUUUGUAUGAGGACCUAGAUCUGUUGAGGAUGCAGAUCUUCACUCGUUGAAGGCCAUCCCUAUCUAUCUACUACUACUCUUUGGAAAAUAAUUGACUACAGAUGAUUGUACAAAAAAAUAAUUAAUAUUAUCUGAACAGCUCACCAUGCAUGUUCAGUAAAGUAAAGCGGAUUUGUUUAUUCAUUGUCUAGUUCAAACUUGGGGAGCAUUUUCUCAUUCUUGCGGUGAUCAGAAUAAUGUGAUUUAAGUCCAGUUAAACAUGCUUAAUUAUGCAUUUAAGCAUCUUUUAUUUAUUUGCUUUCAUUAUUUUUUCCUUCUUAAUGUGUUGUUAUUGUUUGGAACAACAAGUAAGACAAAUCUAGCCAGUUAGCAUUCACCGCAUCACCGCAUAAUGAAAGAUUAUUCAUAUUUGGAAAUGAAUAAUUAAUUAAAAAACUGUAUUAUUAAGGCAAAUGGGCACUUAAUAUUUGUAUCUUAAACCUUCCGAGUCGGAUAUUCGAGUAAAUUAGUUAAAAAGCUAUGCAAAAUGUGAAUGUGACAGACUACGUAGUAAAGUUUGGGUUAAGAGAGAGAGAGAGAGAGAGAGAGAGUAUUUCGCAGCCGGCUGGUCCCUAUGUACGGGAAGAAUCAUAGAAAGUUAGGUAACUACACACAUUUUUCAAAGAUGUCGAUCAUGAAAAAUAUUUGAUAACAAAUUCAGGGAGGACAUACUGCUUAAAUUAUUAACCUAGAAAUAAAGUUCGAUCUCUUGCUUUAACUUUUCUGCUACGUAGCUCUUAUUGCAUUAAACAAAGCCUUAUUAAAGUAAAGAUGGUCACACCCUUAGCCCUUUAGGUGAUACGUUCAGGGAAAUGGUUAAUGUUUUUACAAGCUCUUGUUUAUUUUUAUUUUUUAAUAUUUUCAGAUAUUUUUACAAUCUUUUACUGCGCAGUAAUAGAGUGUAAAAAUCAUAUCUAUGUAUUUAUUUAUUAUUAACUAUGUUUACAAUGAACCUUCUAUUCCAUGAAACAAGAUAUAAAAAUAAAAAUAAAAAGGAGAAGGGCAUAAAUUAACAAAAUUCGGUCAAAGGCCGCAUUGGUCCAAACAUUAAUUGAUAAUCUAUGACAAAUAGUCUGGCCCCAUUAGCAUUAUUUUAACAGUAAUAUUGUUUUUUUACUAAGAUAAUUAAUAAUUGCCAAGUGAAAAUUUGGCAUGAGUACCAUUGUGAAGGGUAAAAACCAAAGCUAUAUAAAGGGUGAGGAGGCUUAGCUUCAGAGGCAGACAACCAAAAACCCAUUCUUAACGAAGGAUGGGAAAAAUGGUGCCUUCACAAGUGACCUCUCUUGUGGUCACUCUCCUAGUGGCAAUAGUCUCUCUCACAUUGCCUUCAGAAACUUCAGCUAACUACCCUUACACCUCUCCACCACCACCGGCCUCUCCUCCCUACCAUUACAAGUCACCACCGCCUCCUUCUCCUUCUCCUCCAGUGCACUACUCACCACCUAAGCAUCCCUACCACCCUAAGUCACCACCACCUCCUGUGUACGCACCACCUAAGCAUCCCUACCACCCUAAGUCACCACCACCUCCUGUGUACCCACCACCUAAGCAUCCCUACCACCCCAAGUCACCACCACCAUCACCAAAGCCUUACCACUACAAAUCCCCACCACCACCUCCUGCUCCAGUGCACUCACCACCCCCACCUAAGGAGCCAUACCACUACAAGUCCCCACCACCACCACCCAAGAAGCCCUACCACUACAAAUCUCCCCCACCACCUCCUCCUCCAGUUCACUCACCACCACCACCCAAGGAGCCUUACCACUACAAAUCUCCACCACCACCACCCAAGAAACCUUACUAUUACAAGUCUCCUCCACCACCACCAAAGAAGCCUUACCACUACAUGUCUCCUCCCCCACCGGUGUACUCACCACCUCCACCAGUGCACUCACACCCACCACCAAAAAAGCCUUACCAUUACAAAUCUCCUCCCCCGCCAGAAUAUUCACCAGCUCCACCAGUGCACUCAACCCCACCACCAAAGAAGCCCUACCAUUACAAAUCCCCACCACCACCACCACCACACAAGAAGCCUUAUUACCCUGUUCACUCACCACCUCCACCUAAGAAGCCUUACCACUACAAAUCCCCACCACCACCUUCUCCUACUCCUCCUAAAUACUCACCACCUAAGCACCCCUACCACUACAAGUCUCCACCACCACCACCAAAGAAGCCUUACCAUUACAAGUCCCCACCACCUCCUUCUCCUACUCCCCCUAAAUACUCACCACCUAAGCACCCCUACCACUACAAGUCACCACCACCACCACCCCAAGAAGCCUUACCACUACAAGUCUCCACCACCACCACCUCCUCCAGUUCCCACACCAUCUCCACCCAAGAAACCUUACCACUACAAGUCUCCCCCACCACCCCCUCCAGUCUACAAGUCUCCUCCACCACCAGUUUACUCACCACCACCACCACCUAAGAAACCUUACAAGCCACCAACUCCUCCAGCAGUUCACCCACCACACGGUUACAUCUAUUCCUCACCCCCACCUCCUCACCACUACUAGAUAUUGAAAGUUUAAUUGCAUCAAGCUGGUAAGCUUCUCCAUUCUAUGCUAUUAUUCAUUAAUUAGUUAGUACUACUGUUGUCAAUUUGGAAAUCACCAUAC
rnacentral:lncRNA from 1 species